rnacentral:rRNA from 1 species
ACCAGACUCCUACGGGAGGCAGCAGUGGGGAAUAUUGCACAAUGGGGGAAACCCUGAUGCAGCGACGCCGCGUGGGUGACGAAGUAUUUCGGUAUGUAAAGCCCUAUCAGCAGGGAAGAAGAUGACAGUACCUGACUAAGAAGCCCCGGCUAACUACGUGCCAGCAGCCGCGGUAAUACGUAGGGGGCAAGCGUUAUCCGGAUUUACUGGGUGUAAAGGGGGCGUAGGUGGCAUGGCAAGUCAGAAGUGAAAACCCAAGGCUCAACCAUGGGACUGCUUUUGAAACUGUCAAACUAGAGUACGGGAGAGGUAAGAGGAAUUCCUAGUGUAGCGGUGAAAUGCGUAGAUAUUAGGAGGAACACCAGUGGCGAAGGCGUCUUACUGGAUCGAAACUGACGUUGAGGCUCGAAAGCGUGGGGAGCAAACAGGAUUAGAUACCCCAGUAA